rnacentral:rRNA from 1 species
UACGGAGGAUGCGAGCGUUAUCCGGAUUUAUUGGGUUUAAAGGGUGCGUAGGCGGAGUGUCAAGUCAGCGGUAAAAUUUCGGGGCUCAACCCCGUCGUGCCGUUGAAACUGACACCCUUGAGUGAGUGAGAAGUAAGCGGAAUGCGUGGUGUAGCGGUGAAAUGCAUAGAUAUCACGCAGAACGCCGAUUGCGAAGGCAGCUUACCGGCGCUCAACUCGAGCGCUGAGGCACGAAAGUGCGGGUAGUCGAACAGG